rnacentral:rRNA from 1 species
CAGUCGAGCGAGGCCCACUCUUCGGGGUGGUGCCCUAGCGGCGAACGGGUGAGUAACACGUGGGCAACCUGCCCUCAGCUCUGGGAUAACUCCAAGAAAUUGGUGCUAAUACCGGAUGUGACCGCUGACCGCAUGGUCUGGUGGUGGAAAGAUUCAUCGGCUGAGGAUGGGCCCGCGGCCUAUCAGCUUGUUGGUGGGGUAGUGGCCCACCAAGGCGACGACGGGUAGCCGGCCUGAGAGGGUGACCGGCCACACUGGGACUGAGACACGGCCCAGACUCCUACGGGAGGCAGCAGUGGGGAAUAUUGCGCAAUGGGCGGAAGCCUGACGCAGCGACGCCGCGUGAGGGAUGACGGCCUUCGGGUUGUAAACCUCUUUCAGUAGGGACGAAGCGAAAGUGACGGUACCUACAGAAGAAGCACCGGCCAACUACGUGCCAGCAGCCGCGGUAAUACGUAGGGUGCAAGCGUUGUCCGGAAUUAUUGGGCGUAAAGAGCUCGUAGGCGGUCUGUCGCGUCGGCUGUGAAAACCCGAGGCUCAACCUCGGGCCUGCAGUCGAUACGGGCAAACUAGAGUACUGCAGGGGAGACUGGAAUUCCUGGUGUAGCGGUGAUAUGCGCAGAUAUCAGGAGGAACACCGGUGGCGAAGGCGGGUCUCUGGGCAGUAACUGACGCUGAGGAGCGAAAGCGUGGGGAGCGAACAGGAUUAGAUACCCUGGUAGU